UGUUAAAAAUUUCAUCCAUUUGUAUUGUUAAAAAUUAAUUUGGUUGAUGAAAUAACCACAUAAUGACACCUAGUCUGUCACGUGCUGACACAUAUGAAUCAAUUUUUAAUAGUAGAAUUGGAUGAAAUUUUUAACA
rfam:Gossypium raimondii Chr04_contig_1236, whole genome shotgun sequence.